GACGAACGCUGGCGGCGUGCUUAACACAUGCAAGUCGAACGGAAAGGCCCUGCUUGCAGGGUGCUCGAGUGGCGAACGGGUGAGUAACACGUGGGUGAUCUGCCCUGCACUUCGGGAUAAGCUUGGGAAACUGGGUCUAAUACCGGAUAGGACUACAAGGCGCAUGUUUUGUGGUGGAAAGUUUGUAACGGUGUGGGAUGGGCCCGCGGCCUAUCAGCUUGUUGGUGGGGUGAUGGCCUACCAAGGCGACGACGGGUAGCCGGCCUGAGAGGGUGUCCGGCCACACUGGGACUGAGAUACGGCCCAGACUCCUACGGGAGGCAGCAGUGGGGAAUAUUGCACAAUGGGCGCAAGCCUGAUGCAGCGACGCCGCGUGGGGGAUGACGGCCUUCGGGUUGUAAACCUCUUUCACCAUCGGCGAAGCCGAUAGCUUUUGUUGUCGGUGACGGUAGGUGGAGAAGAAGCACCGGCCAACUACGUGCCAGCAGCCGCCGUAAUAC
rnacentral:rRNA from 1 species